CUGUGCUAUGUGGGGAGUUAGCGGUGCCCUUUUCUUGCAAUCCGCUCAGCAAGGCAGAACACCUUUCUCGGGGUUGCAAUUUCAAGCAGAAGAUAUCUUUCUUGUGUUGAAAUUAAGGUCUUAUGCAAUAAAAAACUGUGAACCAUGUCAGGUCCGGAAGGAAGCAGCAUUAAGCGGUGACUUUUAUGUGCCAUAAGGAAACUUUGAUGGAGCAAAAAAUUUGUUCGAUCACUUGGGGUUGCGCCACAAAAAAGGUUGCACAG
rnacentral:SRP_RNA from 1 species